AGAUUGAACGCUGGCGGCAUGCCUAACACAUGCAAGUCGAACGGGAGUAGCAAUACUCUAGUGGCGGACGGGUGAGGAAUACGUAGGAAUUUGCCCUUAAGUGGGGGAUAACCCGGGGAAACCCGGAUUAAUACCGCAUGACCUCGAAAGAGCAAAGUGGGGGAUCGCAAGACCUCACGCUUUUGGAGAAGCCUACGUCGGAUUAGCUAGUUGGUGAGGUAAUGGCUCACCAAGGCGACGAUCCGUAACUGGUCUGAGAGGAUGAUCAGUCACACCGGAACUGAGACACGGUCCGGACUCCUACGGGAGCAGCAGUGGGAAUAUUGGACAAGUGGGCGCAAGCCUGGAUCCAGCAAUGACCGCGUGUCGUAGAAGAAGGUCCGUUACGGGUUAGUAAACGCUAACCGUUUUAAAGGUUAGGGAAAGAAAAAACUACGGACUACUAACACAGU
rnacentral:rRNA from 1 species